CUUAACACUAUAGUGUCCCUGUCCCUAGAUCUAUAUUGGAACCCCCCAGCAUUGAGACACGUUUGGCAUUGCUCACAUCUCCGCCUCCCAUGAUGUAUAACUAAGUGAUAGGAAUGGUCCAUUUCAAUGCUCCAUUAUGGACCGAAUUGUAGAGUGGGCUAGUUACCCCUAGGUGAGCUAGCAAGUGUGUGUAGGGACAACCUGAAAGGGGGUAACCCUCACAAAC